rnacentral:lncRNA from 10 species
AAGGAAGCUGUCUUUGGCUCUUCCUGGGUGUAUUGACUGAUUUACAUGCUUGCAUUUACUUUUAAAUUGUGUGGAUAUUGAAGUCUUCUCUCUCUUUACAGCUAUGUUUUAUUCACAGCAAAGCAUAAGGACCAUUUUAUUUGAGGGGUGUAUUGAUUGGUGAGCAUUUGCUUUCCAGUAUACAGGAAUCCUAUCUGGACACCAUACCACCACAUGGGAGAAGUUCUUUCAAGGUCCAAUUGCAAUCUUCCGUGGCUUGCUCCAAGCCUGGGUUUGGACUCAUGCUGCUCCCUACACCCCCAAGUCCAGCAAGGGUUUUCUGUUGGAAUUUACUUCCAGAAACCAAGUUUAAAUCUUUUUCAUCACUUCCUCUAACCAGUAGCUAAAUGGGAUCAGCAAAACUAACCCAACAGCCACUCUGCACACACUUUAACCUCCAAUGAAGUUAUGGCAGCUGGGUCUCCAGCAUUGUGUCUAAGAGAGUCAUGGGGGGAAGAUGAAGAGAAGAUGGGAAGAACGAAGUAGGUAGAAAGUUGAUAAAGUUAUGAAAGAAAGCAGAGUAAAGGUGGGCAAAUGAAUAUGAGAAGGGAUCUGUUCCCUACUGAAACUUAGGUCAGUGGUGGAGAAAAAUAUAUGGAAAGGUGCAAGGGCCUAGUGAAGUAAACAUGAGCACAGUCUCUUUUCUCCUAAGAGUCUUUCAGUUUUCCUUUCAUUACAUAUUUUUCUUUUUGAAAAUGACAUCUCAGAAAAUUGUCU